GUAAUACAUCGGAACGUACCCAGUAGCGGGGGGUAGCCCGGCGAAAGCCGGAUUAAUACCGCAUACGCCCUACGGGGGAAAGGGGGGGAUCGCAAGACCUCUCACUAUUGGAGCGGCCGAUGGCUGAUUAGCUAGUUGGUGGGGUAAAGGCCUACCAAGGCAACGAUCAGUAGCUGGUCUGAGAGGACGACCAGCCACACUGGGACUGAGACACGGCCCAGACUCCUACGGGAGGCAGCAGUGGGGAAUUUUGGACAAUGGGCGAAAGCCUGAUCCAGCAAUGCCGCGUGUGCGAAGAAGGCCUUCGGGUUGUAAAGCACUUUUGUCAGGGAAGAAAUCGUUCGGGCUAAUACCUCGGGCAGUUGACGGUACCUGAAGAAUAAGCACCGGCUAACUACGUGCCAGCAGCCGCGGUAAUACGUAGGGUGCAAGCGUUAAUCGGAAUUACUGGGCGUAAAGCGUGCGCAGGUGGUUCGUUAAGACAGUUGUGAAAUCCCCGGGCUUAACCUGGGAACUGCAAUUGUGGCUGGCGGACUAGAGUUUGGCAGAGGGGGGUGGAAUUCCUGGUGUAGCAGUGAAAUGCGUAGAUAUCAGGAGGAACACCGAUGGCGAAGGCAGCCCCCUGGGCCAUGACUGACACUCAUGCA
rnacentral:rRNA from 1 species